GUUCACUCACACCGCUCUCUUGACCUUCGCCAGACACACACAUACACACCCUUUCUCGUUCUCUCUCCUGUAGCUCGCACCCUGUCACCGGCAGCAGCUGGGACACGCUAGAUGGUUUCGUAUCUGGAAGGUCAGGUGACGCGGGAUGGGCGCAAACGCGCCCCACGCCAUCUCUUCGGCACCAACUACCGAAAGCCGUUCCCGUGGAUCCGCGUCGGUCUCGGGCUGGCCGCGAUGGCGGCGGCGGCGGGCAUGGUCUACCGCCGUAUGAGCUACGUCUCUCCGCAAGAGCAGUUUGUCCGCAAAAUCAAGAUUCGCCCGUAUGGUGUCAUGGGCACGCAGAUGACGCUGCAGGGGUCGCUGCGGCAGGAAGGGCCGAGGCCGGACGACACAAUGGUAAUCACCGACCCAUGCGAUCUCAUGCACAUCUUCACCUCCGCCGCUGGCGCGACGGGGACGUCGGGUGCCAUCUACAAGUGGGUAGGCCUCACCAAGGCGUUCCCGAACGAUGUAGUCAUGGCCAUGAGCAAGGUGGGCGAUGCAAAGCAUCAUCAGUACGGGCUCAAGGACAGCGAGGCGGGCGAGAAGCACGUCAUUCACGUAUCGGCUCCCGACUUCCGCGAGGGCAUUUGGUCAGAGCGCGAGGCGGCGAUAGAGUUGUCGCGGGCGUACCGGAACGUACUACACGAGUACGUCGUCAGCGAGUGUGACACGCUGCGCAUGGUGCCCCUUUCGGAUGGCUUGCAGGCGGGCCCGCUGUACAACCAACUUCCGGCCAUCACCCACUCAGCACUGCUGAUGGGGUUUGAGCAGUUGCACCUGUUCGACAAGGAGUACGUGCUGCGAGACGACAAGAACAUCGAGCUGUGCGUCUUCAUGAACCGCGAGUGGGACAUGUUCAACAACGCCUUUGAAAGCUUGCCGGUGGGGCCGACAGGCUGAGCCAGGGCUAAGGGCUCACACGCACAUUGUUUAUGUGUGCUUGCGCUGAACCGCUUUUUUUUUUCUGCGCCGCUGCGUCCGUAUCUGCCUGUGCGUGCGCGCGCGUCUGUGUCUGUGCCAGGAGCGGUUAUGUUUCUCUUAACGUGUCCUUGCCGUCGCUGCGGGCCCACUUGUGGCCCAUCGUUUUUCCUGUUGUUACCGCGCAUGCCGCUCCAUCGCUCGCAGAGGCGCGCACGCACACUACUACUCACAUCAAAGAGAGUAAGCCAAUCCCAAGCUUG
rnacentral:misc_RNA from 1 species